rnacentral:rRNA from 1 species
UACGUAGGGUGCAAGCGUUAAUCGGAAUUACUGGGCGUAAAGCGUGCGCAGGCGGUUGUGCAAGACAGAUGUGAAAAUCCCCGGGCUCAACCUGGGAAUUGCAUUUGUGACUGCACGGCUAGAGUGUGUCAGAGGGGGGGUAGAAUUCCACGUGUAGCAGUGAAAUGCGUAGAGAUGUGGAGGAACACCGAUGGCGAAGGCAGCCCCCCUGGGUCAAGAUUGACGCUCAUGCACGAAAGCGUGGGGAGCAAACAGG